GCGGGCGUGGCGGAACUGGUAGACGCACCGGACUUAAAAUCCGUUGGAGGGCAACCUCCGUGCCGGUUCGAUUCCGGCCGCCCGCACCA
rnacentral:tRNA from 6 species